AGCUUUCUAAAUUCGUACAGAGAUUUCGUCAAAUACCAACCCAUUAGGGCUGAUCAGACUUUCAAGACAAGUGAAGUU
rnacentral:pre_miRNA from 1 species